AGAAAUCCAGUGUUGUCAGUGUAACUCUGAGCAGAGUGACUAUAUUCAGAUCUCCCAAGACUUCUUUUACCUCAUUUUGCACCAGAUGGUUUACUGCCUCAGCUCCUGAAACAUGAGGUUGCCAGCUGCAGCAGUGCAUGAAGCUGAGCAGGGGCCACCUGGGUCAUCAGAGGAACAUUGCUGUGUUUCAGGACUGAAGACCAACAUGCAGGCUCCUGGGACCACCCGAGGACCUCUAAGGGCAGGAAGACUGCCUUCCAUGUCCUUGAAGUUGCCACUCACAGCUGGGCAGUACCUUCUGGAAUUCAUCCAAGGGCAUCAGAGGACUCUCAACUAAAAGCUGAGGUCAGCCAUAUCUCAGAGCCAGAACAGGAAGGAAACUUCAAAUUUCACCUGCCCAGAUGCUCCAGACUUCUUGAUCUUCUUUAUCUCCAGGAUUCUUCUUGACAGUCACAAAAUUAAUACCCUUCUGCUACUUAAUGAUUCAUUAUGUAUGUGUAACCAGUAUCUUGAUUUCUGUAGAUUCUGAUGCUUUGAAAUAAAAUUUAAAAAUAAAUAAAUAAGAAGCAAACUUUAAAAAA
ensembl:lincRNA Gm29088 predicted gene 29088